GUGGCCAAGAGGUAAUCAAUACUGAUCCUCUGAAACAUGGCGAUCGUAUUUGUAUCAAACAAGAGGAAGAGUUAGCCACAGUGUGUACGAACGAAGCGGUCGAAAAAACAGCUAUGGUCGUGUACACACAUGACAUUGGACCUAUGCCUGAGAGGGAAGAAAACGAGUGAGAGUCUAAUCCAUUGUAGUUAUUGCUCAUCGUCGACGUGCUUUCUGUAUCAGACCAUACAUCGCUAUCCUCAAAAUGUUCAAUUUCAAAUGACGUCGUUUGUGUGCUGUGAUUUUUUGUUGAAAUUAACUCAACCUCCGUACCUUAGCAUAAAAUUAUUGUAUUGCUGGAUUUUUCACAAAAAUCAAAACGGCCAAAAUGGAAAGUCUAUACCUCUACUUAUCAUAUUUGGCACUUUUGUUUGAGUGGUUCUUGACCUUACGUGUUUUUGCGGACGGAUUGUUAUGUCUGCUUGGCAUUUCACAUUGCGCUUCUAAGACAAACUUCCUUUGAGGUAAAACGCACAAACAUUUCGAGCCGAUGUCGACACAUCGUAGUCGUCUGCAAGAACGUCGUCAAUAAUCUAAAAUUAUAAAAUUGUCGUCAAUUUGACAGAAGACUGUUAUACCUGCAAUAUUUUCCUGAAAUAAUUUGUAAAAGGCUUUAUAGACAGGUACUGGCUCUAAUUGGUUUGGGUGCAACAUGUGAGAAAUGUUAUGAUAAAAAUUUGGUAAAGGGAAAGUAAAAAACAUCCCAACUAUGAACAAAUGUGGAGAAGUUAAAUUACAUACUGACACAUUAAAAAGUAGUUUGAACAAUCCGUAUGUAUUUUAAACUUAAUUGAAUUUAUUUAGAUUAUGGCUGUUAAGUAAUUACAGCAUUCAAAAAUUUCAAUAAUUUUUGAACUUUUCAUUAUCAUCUUAUAUCUGUAUUAAAUGGAAUUUUUGUUUGUUAAUAGUGUUUUACAUGAUGAUUGUAUUAAGAUUACCAAAAAAUGAAAGUCUAAAAAGUUUCAUGAUUACACUAA